UACGAAGGGUGCAAGCGUUAUUCGGAAUUACUGGGCGUAAAGGGUGCGUAGGCGGUUCGUUAAGUCUGUCGUGAAAUCCCCGGGCUCAACCUGGGAAUGGCGAUGGAUACUGUCGAGCUAGAGUGUGUCAGAGGAUGGUGGAAUUCCCGGUGUAGCGGUGAAAUGCGUAGAGAUCGGGAGGAACAUCAGUGGCGAAGGCGGCCAUCUGGGACAACACUGACGCUGAAGCACGAAAGCGUGGGGAGCAAACAGG
rnacentral:rRNA from 1 species